rnacentral:rRNA from 1 species
UGAGGAAUAUUGGUCAAUGGACGAGAGUCUGAACCAGCCAAGUAGCGUGAAGGAUGACUGCCCUAUGGGUUGUAAACUUCUUUUAUAUGGGAAUAAAAUGUUUCACGUGUGGGAUUUUGUAUGUACCAUAUGAAUAAGGAUCGGCUAACUCCGUGCCAGCAGCCGCGGUAAUACGGAGGAUCCGAGCGUUAUCCGGAUUUAUUGGGUUUAAAGGGAGCGUAGGUGGAUUGUUAAGUCAGUUGUGAAAGUUUGCGGCUCAACCGUAAAAUUGCAGUUGAAACUGGCAGUCUUGAGUACAGUAGA